GGCGUUGCGCUGGCUCUUCAUGACGGACUUCUGGUGGCGGAGGUGGUCGGCGGGGGAGCAGCCGCCGUGGCCGUGGUCGCUGUCGCCGCAGGUGAGGCGCGUCUCGUACUUCCAGUAGAUGUCCAACAGCAGGAAGAGGCAGAAGGGCACCACCNGUUAAAAAAAAAAAAAAAAAAAAAUUGUUACAGUAUUUUUUUUUUAGCUCUCUUGUAUGCGGAGGUUUUAAUUUACUACAGUUAAACCUUUGGUAAUUAAAAAAAAAAAAAGGUUUGCUACAGUAAAUUUAUUUAAAGUGUGCGGUUCUUUUCAAAAGUUUAAGUUUAAUUUAUACUAUUUUUCAAAAAAAAAACAUAUAUAUUUUACUGUUUCGGUUUUGCUACCGUAAAAUUUUGUUUGAUAAAAAAAAAAAAAAAAUUGCUACAAUAUUUUUUGAAAAACUGUUUCAAUUGGGAUUUGAACCCACGAUUGGUCUAUAUAGCAUCUUCAAACACUACUCCCUCUAACCAGCACUACCACUUUUACUUUCUAUUCUUUUAUUAUUGCAGUAGAUUCUUAACUCUAUUUGCUGUAUAAAUAUUAUUUCAUUGCAUAUAUUAUCUGUUUAAAAUUAGUUAAUUGAAAUCAAAUAUUUAAAUUGUUUGGGCCAUCUGUUUUGCUGAACGAACUUUCAUAAGAGAUUAAUUUUAAAAACUUAAACCCUAAAAUAUUCUGGUUGACUAGGGUAGAAACCUUAACAACAUGUUUGUUUUUCUAAAAAGGUUUUUUGAACCUUUUUUGCAGCUCUUUUUAAUCAUCCUUAAUUUCUUUGUUCCCUCAACUAGAUUGUUUAGAAUGGGUUUUGAUGAUACUUCUAGCCUUAAACCAGAAAAAUUUAAAGGGGUAGGGUUUUUGAGGUGGCAAGAACAGUUAGAGGCUUGGCUUAUCACCUUAGGCCUGAUAACUGCAAUUGGAAAAACACCUCCUUAUCCUACUUCUAAAAAUUCUUCUGAUCCACCUAUUGUAACUCCUCCAUCUGAUUCUGCUACCACCUCAGUUACAGAACAUAAAACUGAUAAAUCUCCCGAGGAAAUUGAAUUUCACUGUAGGUUUAGAAUACUCAACUGUCUAUCUGACGAACUUUAUGAAACCUAUAGGAAAUAUCAAACUGCCAAAGAUUUAUGGUUUGCCUUAGAAGAUGCCUACAUUAGAGAUAAUGAAGGUGUCGCUAGAUUUACCAUUACCGAUUUUAACAAUUUUAGAAUGGUAGACAACAUUCCUAUAAAUGAUCAAAUUCACCAAUUUCAGAAUUUUGUCCAAGAGAUUCAUAGGAAUGGAUCAACCCUAGAUGAAACCUAUCAGGCAACCUGUUUAUUGGAUAAAUUACCCCCUUCCUGGACCAAAUUUGCCCAUGAGCUUAGACGUACCCAGGAAACUCUUAAACUUAGAUCGGUAAUCCAAGCCAUUAGAAUAGAAGACCAAUACCGACUUAGAGAGAUUAAACCGUCCAACAACCGAUCAAACAUAAACCUGACCGAGAUUCCGAACCAGAGCCAUGAGCCUAAACCCAAAGGUAAAAAUUUUAAACCUAAGGGUAAAGGCUUUAAAGGUAGGAACCCUAAUCGAAACCGGAACUAUACCCAGAAAUCCAAUACCAACCAACCUAGUGGGAAUAAGAAAAAGGAUGGUUUUUGUUAUGUAUGUGGCCGUGACAACCAUUUUGCUUCAAAAUGUUUUUAUCGGAAGAAAGAGAAGGUUGUCUACAAGAAGGGUCAAAACACUCAGAACAACUAUCCUAAACCUCAGGUCAACAUGAUUGAGGGUGAACCUUCCAACUCCACUUUUAGGUCAGUCUCAUUUGUACCUAAUGUUAACCUUACCUAUCAUGAUUUAGAUUGGUGGUUAGACUCUGGAGCCAAUGUCCAUAUUUGCACUAAUAGGUCCCUAUUCUCCUCUUAUCAGGACACAAGUGGAGGAUGUGUGACUGUCGGAGAUGGAAAAGCUGUCAAUGUGUUGGGGAUCGGAACAGUCAAGCUGAAGUUAACUUCAGGAAAGACGUUAAUCCUUCACAAUGUGCAGCAUUCCCCUGAAAUCCGACGGAACCUGAUUAGUGGAUCUUUAUUAGUGCAAUUAGGAUAUAAGAUUGUAUUAGAAUCCAAUAAAGUUGUAAUUUCUAAGGGAGAAAUGUUCAUUGGAAAAGGUUUUGUAUCUGAGGGUUUGUUCAAACUGAAUGUNNNNNNNNNNNNNNNNNNNNNNNNNACUUUCUUUUGUUGAUAAUAAAAAUAUCUUUACUUCUUCUUCUACUAUCUUCUACUAUUUGUUUUGAAUACUGAAUCUUGUGAAAUAUAUGGCAUUGGCAAGAUUAGCAUGUGAACCUUAGAGACUACUAAUUCGAACUAUCACAAUCUAACCUUGUACCCAAAUUUAAGAAUUGAUCCAUAUCCAAAUGUGAGAUUUGUACGGCCAAGCUAAAGUCAUCUAGACUUUUAAAAUCAUUCCUUAGUAGUGGAAUGAUCCAAGAUUCUUGAACUAUUCAUAUGAUGUCUGUGAUUCUAAUAAGUCCUACUCCGUGGCAGGAGUGUUACUUUGUGACCUUUAUAGACGACUACUCUCCAAAUUUUGUUUACACCUAUCUCUAUGUAAGACAAAGAUAAGUCCUCAUAAGUUUAAGUGCCUUUAAAGCACGAGGUUGGAAAACCAUUGGAGAAGAAGGAAUUAAAAUUCUAAAGUCUGAUAGAGGAGGCGGUAACUUCAAAUGAAUUAAAUCUGUUCUGGGCGAGGAGCAUGGAAUAAUCAUGAAGUAACUGCCUCCAAUACUCACCUCAGUCUAAUGUGUACUUGAAAGAAAGAAGCGAACCCUAUAAGACAUGUUAAUCUAUGAUUUUAAGUUCUGGUGUAUCUUUCAGAACUUGUUGGGGGAGCUCUUUAUCAGGCUUGCUUAUAUCCUCAAUAGGAAUUUCCUCUACGGAUAGAACAUCAGACACCUCUAUGAACUUUGGAAGGGAAGAGCGCCUAGGAAUGAGUUACUUCCGAGUGUCGGGGUUCGCGUGCUUAGCUAAGGUUCUAUUCCUGGAACCCAAAAGAAAGAAGAUUGGUCUACAAAACAGUAGAUCCAUUUUCAUUGGAUAUUCCUAGAUAGCAGAGCCCUAAUAGAUUUCUUGUAAUCCAACCUCUGAGAAUUUCUGGAGAUUUAUCCAAUGAACCUUGAUUGAAUCUAGAGGAUGCAACCUUCUUUGAAAAUAUCUUUCCUUUCAAAAAUCGUAUCUCCUAGAUCGUGCACUUGGUUCAAGACCUACAGUUGAUCAUGCAUCUACAUCUGAUUCAAUUCUUAUCUGCAUCUGAUUUAUCACUAUAUUUUUAGAUCCUGUAGAACCUUAACCACCAGCCGCAACUGAGAAGAAUCAGAGAGAACUCGCAUUGAGAAGAUAAUUUGGUGCAAGAAUUUUCUUUACUUUCUUAAUUGAAAAGUACAGUCCUUUCAUCAUACAAGGAAGGCUAUGAGUUUCUUCUGAAGCUCUUUUUGAAGGAGGCUAUAAACAGUGAGAUCGAGUCAAUCAUCUGGCCACGAAGUACUUUGGAUUCUUCACUGAUUUAGCUCCUGGAAACCAACCUUAGGAUGUAAGUGGUGAUCUUGUAAAAAAGAAGCUAUGGACUGACGGAUCGCUAGAGGGAAAGUACAGAGGCGCGCUUGUACUCAAAAGGUUUCGAGGCAAAAAGCUGAAGUUGAUUACUUUGACACUUUAUGCGCCUGUUGCUCGCCAUUUGCUACUAUCGCGAGUCAUUCUUUGGCAUUAGCAAUUAACUUCAUAAGCUUUUGAUUACAUCAGUGGAUGUCAAUAACCUUUUCUUCAUGGAGAUUUAAAGAGAAAUCUAAUGACUCAACUGAAGGUUUCUCUCUGCCUGGUCAAGGAGAAUAAAGGUGUGUAAAUAGUUCCUCUCUAUAUGGAUUAAAAACAAGCCACCUAAGCAGUGGCACGAGAAAUUCGACAGCGUAUUGAAUCAUAGGAUUUCAAACAAACGAUUUUGAGCAACUCCUCUAUUUUUAAGAGGUUUCGACGACCGAAAUGUGUUCUUCUUUGCCUCUAUGUUGAUCAACAUCUCUGAUUCCUUGCACCUGAUCUUGAUCUGAUUAACCAAGUUAGAGAGUCCUUUUUAUCGACUCAUUUUGAUAUGAAGGAUCUGCGUGAAGGCAGAUGUGAUUUUAGAAUGAAAAUUUCUGAGAUCCUCAGAUUCCUAUUCUUCUGACCGCAAUCCUCAUUAUACCCAAAUGGUUUCUUGACAAACUUUGAUAUUCCUGAUUGCAACUCCUGUUUCUACUUCUUAUGAUCCUAGUGUUCCAACUUGUUGAAUAACACGUGGUAAUUUGCUGUGAAUCAGGAGAGAUACCCAGAUUAUUGUUCUUUGGUACUAACCAAUAGGAAUAGACUGAUAUUUGCCUAUGCAUAUCAUGAUUGAGUAGAUAUACAGAACCGUAACCGCUUAUGAACUCAUCUGAUGGCUUUGGAAAGGAUUUUGUAUCUUAAAAAGUAUAUCUUCUUAUCUCCUCUCGUUUUGUCUGGCAUCUUGCUGUUAUUUGAGCGGAUACCAGCGAUGCCAAAAUUGAUUUUCGAUUCUUUGCGAUAUCAAGUCAACUUCUGAGUUAAUGUUUUUAUUCUUUGGUGGAGGGCAGUUUCCUUGGCAAUCCACCAACAGACUAGUAAUACAGAAUACUAUGGAGGCUGAAUUAGAUUGCCUGAUUACUACUUGCCUUGAAGCUCGAGUGGCUCAAAAUUCUACUUGUCAUGCAAUCCGUUGACUUUUUUCUCUGCGGCGGCCGCAUCCACGCUAUUCUAUUAGGGUCGAUUCUCCGAAGUGCAACUUGGAUUUUGUAAAAAGAAAAUGGUAAAUCUAAGCAAGUAGACAAUAUUAAAUUGAGAAAAAAAGUCUGUUUAUGGUUAACUUCUCAUGAUAUUUUUCUUUAAGUUUUAUCAAUCUGAUCAGAUCUUGGCAAGAUUGCUUGAAGAAAGGCCUGAAUAGGACUUAAGGUCCUAGAGUCAUCGAGGGGUGAUGGAUUGCCGUAAAAGGGCCUUCCUGAAGUGGGAACCGCAACUUUGUGAUCAGGAGAUCCCUUGAAGAAGGUUCCAAAUUAUAAAAACAAGCCUGCUUAGGUUGCCAAAGAGGUCAACUGGUCUCAGUUAUAAUAGAGGAGCUUUGAGCUGCCAAAUCCAUCCCUACUGGUGAGUAGCUGCUAUGUGAGUGGUUGAGGCGGACUCGAGUAAGCUCUUAAUGGAUCCGAGGGAUAAUUUUCGCGAGACUGUGAAGCUCUAGCACACAUACCUGGAGGAAAACCCACCUAAUAUAGAGUAUCCGUAUUGGCCGCGGCUCAUGAGAUGUGGGUUAUCCAUAGAAGCCUUAUGAAAAAUCAAGGUUACUGUGCACGCCAUUAACGCACAACCUCGCGACGGAGAAUUCUGUAACUAUGUGUGUGAUAGUUAAGUCAGGCAAAGAAACGUAUUCAAGACCUGAGUUCACUCCGAUUCCUUUCUGAUGGGAUGAGACUACUUUGCCAGCUAAGUGGAGGUUAAGUCUCUUAAAGACACCUCUGACCUAUUACACUCCCUAGUAUAGAACCCCGUCGGUCGAACAAAAAUGUCGAGUGUUUCUGCCGUUAAUUAUGGUUUUGUUGUUUAAUUUUUAUUUUAGUCGUUUAUCCUGAGUUUCAUGCUUAAUAAAUAACUUUUGAAUUUAAUAUGUGGGAGGCGAAUAUUAGUGUAAAGAAAAAUUCCAAAGGUUAAUAAUUUUAAAUUAAAUAUUAAAAUAAAUUAUUUCAAAUAUUAUAUUAUAUUAACAUGUUUAAUUAUAUAUAGAAGAAGUCAGAAUGCCCGCAUCAACUAUAUAAAGAGCAUCUUGAAAAUUUUUCCUUCGCGUCGCGAGGCGAGAUAAGAUUCGUCCGCCCCAGCAAUACGAUAAUUCAUACACUAAUUAUUUAAGACCUUAAAGUAAAGAAUGCUACAUAAUGAAACGUUGUAGGAGCUCCAAAACGUAUUAUCCAAAUAUACUUUAAACACUUCAAUAAAUUUAAUUAGUUAAAUAAUCUUAAUCACCGAGAAUCGUUCCAUUAACGUAAGUUUUGGAACAAGGAAUGAUAUGUUAUAAAAUCUACAUGAAGUGUCAUUAAGAGGUCUUAAACACUGCCACAAAUUAGUGGACUAAAAUAAGUUUCAAACACAUCAGAAGGAAUCGGAGUGAACCAGGUCUUGAACUACGUUUGCUUUGACGCUGAUCUUCAGUCUAUGCGACACACAUGUAGACAGGAAUACUAUUUCUAGCAAUCCAUUUGUUAUUUCUCUGCGCCAAUUUUAUGUGAGUGUUUUCGAUGACCGUUAAAACGAGAUGUUGUCUGCGAGAUAGCACACGGAAUCUCCGUCUAUAUACAUUAGUUUCAAAGAGCCUCUAGUGGAUAACCAUACUCCCAUAAAGCGCGGCCAACAUAACGGAUACUCUUAAAUAAGGUGGUCUCCAGGGAUUGGUGAGAUGUUCGCAAAAAAAUUAUCGCCUGGAAUCCAUAAGAGCCUAUACUACAUCCUCACCACUCGACUCACAGAUCACUACUCCCGACCCAUAGGAGAUUCGGAACGUGGUAGCUAAAGCCCUCUAUAUAGAACUCCGGUAGAGAGAAGGAGUUCCAGGGCUUCUUUGCCACCCUGAUCACCUGUUUUUAUCACAAUACACCCUUUUCGUUGGGCCGUCAGAUGUAUUCUGCUCUCUAUCACAAGAGAUACGGCCUUGGCACGUUCCCGACUAAGGGACAGCGAGGAAGGAACCCUUUUACGCAAACGCUCUUAGCGCAGUGCGUCUUCUGCACACCGCUUCUCAGACCGAUUGUCCAACUAUUCGUUGUAACUUUUUCGUCAAAAGCAAUCUGCAAGGAGCUAUCUCUGCUAAUCCAGAAUCCUCUGAAUAUGACAGACUUAAAGAAAAUUUUUAUAGAAUUAAGUCGAAAUUACUUGGUAAAGAAUUAAUCGUUCCAUAUUAAUUUAUAAUAAUAAACUUAGAUUUCACAUAUCAGAUUUCGCUUCAGUAAUUUGUUCAAAAAUCUAUCGAUUACUAUUAACUUACAUAUCAUGUGAUGCGAAAGAAUUAGGGGAAAAAAUAAACUAGGAUGCACCAUAAGCGAACUAGCCGUGCGUUAUAUCAUAUAUAUAAGGUACAUGAAUCUUCAACAAACACAGAGAAAUUUCGACUCAAUCGUCGAUCACCUCAUACGUGCGUUUAAGCUGGUCGAGGCGGUGGGUGGAAGCUGAGUCGAGGCGGAGGACAGGGACGAGACGAGAAGAGGUGAGCACCAGUAGGAGGAGGAGGGCGGCGCGAUGAGUUGAGCGAUUGCGCUGGCUCUUCCUGACGGCACUUCUGCGUGAGCGGAGCGUGGUCGUCGGAGAGCAGCCGCCGUCGGCCGUAGGUCGUUCUGUCGCCGCAGGGUGAGCGCGUCUUCGUACUUCCACUAUGAUGUUCCAACGCAGGAAGCAGAAGGGCACCCCCGACAGCAUCGGCUUCUAGCGCUUCCCGCCCGCACCGGCCACCACCACAGCGUUCCCCGCAGGCGCGCCAGCCCGCCAGCGCCUGGCAGCGUCAAGCAGCACCACAUGAUCGCGCUCGCCCCGGCCACGUACGCCCACCACUCACCCCACUCCAGCGCCAUUGCACCUCACCUCUCCACAACCUACAAUGUCCAAACCCUAACCUCCCUCUCCACAUCUCUUCUCUUUUUUCUUCUUUCUUAGGAAAGGGGAAAGGUGGAGACGAGGAGAGAAGGCUUGAUUAAUAAUAUCGAGUGUGGCACGGUCGUGGGGUGUGGAUGGCGGCAUGCGUAUAGUCGGGCCUUCGAUGACUCGCAAACGGUACGUAUUGAACGAAAUACGAUCCGUACGUACGUUGUUUACUAUGGCGGCAUCAGAUCCUACCGUCGCGGGUGUCCGCGGACGUUGUGAGUAACCAAUAAUUCCGGAGAUCGUCCCGGGAAAAAAAGGGUGAAUCCCGAACCCCCCCCUUAAACGGGCAGUAAUAAUUCGUUGCGUUGGUCUUUAUCUUUCGUCAGAAGAUAGAACUGCGAUCUGUGUUUCGUACUUAGGGGAUGUGCUUAUUCGGACGAAUUUUUAGGGUUAAAGGGCCCACAGGCAAAUGCUAUAUUUCUUACUCUUAUUCAAUUAAAAAUUAAAUACUAUCUCUUAUUUUUUAUAUCUAUUACUUUCGACCAUUUUGUAGCAACUGGACGCAUUAAAAAGCCCAUAAGUUUGUUGAUGGCCAUUACCGAUGCCAUAAGUCAUCUAAUUCUGUUGGCGGCACGCUCCGACCCCCGAUUAUUCCGGUCUCGACUGGGCCUUGGCGAGCUACUAACUUGCUUGAAAAUCUCUCCUUAUGCUACCUUCACUCGCAGAAAGAUUCAAAAUAAGUUUUUUAAAAAACAAAACGAAAAUCAUCGACACAGGAAACGAUGGAAACAUUGCUUUAUUCAUCUAUUUUUCCACACGAUUCUCCGAACACUCGCGUAUCAUCAUCACCAGACUACAAUACACCUGUCGAUAGAAACUUUAUUAUUCCACUCUCCUCCACACAUAUAUAUAUUAUCUUAUACGUAUAAUUUCAUAGGUGACAUUUUUGCCCCGUAGUUCAGAGCUUGCAUCGAAAUGGGGAUCGCGCGGGGCCUUGGCUGGCGGGAUGGCUCCUUGGGAUGACAAUCCGUGAGAGCCGUGUCGACGCUCUCCGCUUGAGUCUCGGCCUUCGCGUGUCGGGAGCGCGGCGAGCCUCCCUACUGUCGAAACUCCCUUCCUGCCGUCUCCGCAUUCGUGUCCACUCCGACCUCUCGGCGCCUCCUCCUUCCACGCCGCCGACGACCAGAACCCUCGCACUCUGAUGCUGAGUACGUUUCCUCCUCUAAACUGGCACCUUUAUUAUAUCAUCACACUCCCCAAACCCUAGCGUCCCGUCCAAGAACCAUAUUAAAUCGCGUAGGGAAAGAGAGAAGAGUAAGGUGGUGAGAGAUGGUAGAGUAGAGUAGAAGUAGCACGAGAGUACCUGGACGUUUGAUUUUGAGGAUGUGGGAGCGAAAAGGGUCUCGAUCCAAGGCCAUUGAGCCGUGGCGGAGAUUGCCGCGCCAUUCGCAAACGAGGACCGGGGCCUCAAUAAGGCGCUCGAGACAGGCGAGCCGACGAAGACGUCCGCACCAUCGGCCGAUUCGAAGCCCUCGUCGAGGUAAUGCGAUGAAGAGGUUGAAAGACAACUUGUAUUGAAACUUGGAUUAAUAAACGUGCAAAUAUAAUAAGACUUUAUGUACGAAGGUAGAAUAGAACGAAAUGAGGAAUUCUGGAGAGAUGAAUCGUAAAGAAGAAGAAGCUUCUGAAGGAAAAUAAAUUCCCAUACACUUUUCGCCCUUAUGGCCCAUGGAAAAUAAUUUUGGGCCCCAAGAUAAUUUAACAGUAAAUGUGUCUAGGCCGCGGUGGAAAGAAAUAUUGGCGCCUCUAAAGCCCAAGUUUCUGACCUGGGCCAACUUUUUCUACGCCCAAUCAUUUUCCUUAGGAGCCGUGGGCUUUUGUAAAGCUGGACGUCUACAAUACGAUGAUUAAGUGGCAUGAACCUUUCAAGAUUAGGUUUACUUAGUAUUGGACGAUUUUUAGUGUCAAAAUUUAAAUAUUGUAAACUUUCUCAUGUAGAAUAAUCAAUAGAACUCUUUCGACGCAUGUUGAUUCCAGACUUUAUUGAUGUGUAUUAUUGUUUUUGUGUGUGUGUGUGUGUUGUAUGUUGUGUGUGGAUCAGCAGUGUAAGUCCUUUACAACCCUAUCAAACUGGUCCCUCUGUUUGGACUUAGAUCUUCUAUAAAUAACCUAUUUUGAAUAUAUCAAUAAAUAAAUAAUUAAUAAAUAUGAAAUUGUGAUAAGAAUUAUAUAGAGUUAGGCUUUAUGAUGCACCAAACUCGACAAUAAGCGAACGAGAUCUUUCUUAAUCAACAUUAUUCGAACUAGCUGAUAAUACAAAUUUUUUCUCAAACAUAAUAUUAAAAAGUGUUAAUCGAUUAUAACUUCAUGAUUGGAGUGUUGUCUUUUAUGACAGCACAACUAUAUUUAGCGUGGGCCAGCUACAUAGUAAUAUAAAAAUCUAUUUGAGGUGGCGAUACAAUUUUAUUGCACUUCGGCCACACUAAACACUAUACCAUUAGUCAUAAAAUAUCAAUAGAGAGUGACUGUACCCAUUAGAUCGUGAUGUGAUUAAUCCAGUGUGUGUUUCCUCAACCAAAACUAGCGAGUAUAAUCUCAGCCAUUCUAAUUAUCAACGCCAGAAGGCUCUUAAGUCGCAGUAGGUUUGAGCCUAUUGAUCAGCAAUAUUAGAUGCUCCAUGGACCGCAUGUCUCCCUUUGGACCGUAUAAUAGUGCAAUUAAAAAUUGAUCCUUUGUAUCACGUAGGCAUUAGAAUAUGUCCUAACAGUAUCAACCAGUUGUCAAUCAACUCAAGAAUUUGAUGUGCGUGCCACUUGCAGUUUAGCUGAUUCAAAAUUUCAAGAAUAACUGAGAUAUUCAUAUGACUAAGAAAAAAUAAAACAAUUACAGAGAAAUGAUAGAAAUAUAUCGCGUAAUAAUGAAUCAAAUACAUUGUUUUAGAUGAUAACAUCUUCCCGAAUAGGAGCCAAGCAAUUCUCUUUUACACAUCACUGAUUAAGCGACUGUUGAUUUUAUUAUACUGAUUUAUGUUACCUGGGCUUCAUUCGACGAUCCGAUCACCAAUUUGACCAUGAGGUGAGGAUGUAGAAUUUUUUCUUCUAGCUUAUUAAUCACUUUGAUAAUUUAGUAGAGAUCCUAGAGAGAGAGAGAGACUAGAAAGAGUACGAAUUUAGGCCAUUAACUAAGACGAGUUGCAAAUUAAUAAUUAUUAUUCUUUGAAUAGAGUCCCCACCAGCGCAUCAUUCAUCUAGCAAAAGCAAAUGUAGCCUUUUUUGGUUCACUUUAUUAACGCCAUUUUGCUCAUCUUUCGCAUGUCUGUAGGAGUGAUUAACCCUUGAGUCCCACUUAAUAUUAUCAGCACAAUAGCGUGGCCAUAUAUGCUAAAAUUUAAACUUGCUUCUAAACUAGUGCACAGCUCGAUAAAUAUAUAUUGCAUAUAUCGCCUUGUAGUCCUCUGAAUUGGGUCCCGAUAUAAUAAGACCCAUAUUCAUCAUGAAUUAAUCAAGGUUGUUCUUUUUCUUUUCAAAAGAAUGUUUUACUUAGUCAUUCAAUAUGAUAUUUCAGUCGCGCUCUAACACUAAUAACAUAUUAAGUGCUAGUUACUUAUUAUUAGAAUACCUGAAUCUCUUAUCUUUUAAAUCAUAUAUUUUUUCCUAUUCCGAUAUUAGAUUUAUUCUACUGGCGUCCGUUACACCAAAAUUACUCUUAAUUAUUUUGACUUGUUUUAAUGAUCUAAAAGUCCUAAGGUGCAUCGAUCACUUUCAGGCGUGCUUCAAAUAAAGUACCGAGAUGUAUUGUUAAAAAUACCUCCAAAUUGUGCAACACAUUUAAGUGAAUGCGAUUUACUGUAGGCUUAUUUUCUAAAUCUAAUUAUUUAAUUGGUAACGAUAUCUGUAUUAUGCUUCUUGCACAAGCAAUUAAGAGAUUUGCCUUUUAAGAAAAUUAACAGUUAAUUGUUGUUAUUCAUGCAAUCCAGUGUGUACAGUAUAUCUAACGCAGCUGCACCUGGUGACCACACACAAACAGAGACUGAGUGCUAACCCAUUGGAUACGCUCUCUCCACUAAUUCACAAGCGAGUGCCUAUGUCCUCUUGUCCGACUACAAUGUUAAUUGAAUGAUAUCAAAACUUUGAAUAAUUGCUCUGUGCUAUAACGCCAAAUCUGAAGCUUAGCGAAUGUCACUUAUUCUCUAUACGAAAUUCACCCUGUAAAACUAAAACCCACCUUACAAUAACUACUUUGCCAAACAUGAGUCAGCAGUCAAUUCCAAAGUAACAAAGCCUCCUACCUUUCAUUAACCUAAUUGCUGCCUCUACCACAAGAUGACGCGAUUCACCAAUUAGAGACAUCCAAGCAUGCUGAAUCAUGGGCACAAGAUUACAAUAUAACCCUAGCAGACUAUUUGGGGAAGAGCAUGUGAUUAUGGAACAUUAACAAUCUAAACUUGAUAUAGAACAUAAAUAUAUCCAAACUCUUAAUUGAAUUCUACUCUUAACGAGCCAUCCUUCUCUCACUUAUAUCCAUUUUGGGCCAGACUUCCCCAUCCACUUAUUUCCAUUGAAAACAUGUCCCCUCAUCAUGUCUUUUUUAGUUCCCAUCCACACUUCCAAAAGGAACCCCUCUUCCCUCGCUCUUUAAAUGCAAAAUAAUUUAUAAGACCUCACAAAAAAAAAAGAUAAAGCAUAAGAAAGUAAAGAGAAAAGGUGAGAUGGCGCAAAAGUUUCAUCAAUUAAAGCUACCCGGCCGACAUCUCCACAGGAACAAAUUAGAGAUCACUGCAUGUUUGCGCAAUAUCGUUAUUGACCUGCAAUUUGAGGCAGAAAACAAAAAAACAAAAAGAAAAAAAAAGAAGAAUAUAAUAUCAAUAACGGUGUCGAUAGUAUAUAAAUAGAAGUUUAAAUCAAUGAUCGAAAUAUAAAUAUUUUACCUUUUAAUUGCUAGUAUAGUUAGUAGAAAUUAUAUAAUCAAAAAUAUCGAAGAAUUUUUUUUGACAAAAAAAUGAAUAAAGUGGGCAAAUGGAAACUCACCAUCUUCGCAGAACUCGUCUGAUAAGGAGAGGAAGACGAAUUAUCAGGGCGACUGCAGCCAGAGGCCCAAUAAUAAUUGAAUGUUUCCCAGCUCAUCUACUAAAAUAAAAUAAAAAUUAAAUUUAAAAAAAUUAUAAUUUAUUUAUACUAUGAGUAAAAUAUAAUAAAUUUUUUUAUAAUAAGUUGAAGCUUGUAAUUAAGAAUGCAUGGUUCGUGUUAUAAUUAAAUUCGUGACAACGUCACCCCAAAAAUGUAUAACAAAAGUAUCUCCACAAAUCAUUAGUUAAUUUAUAUAAAAGAAAAAAAUUUGCACAACAAUAGUGAAUAUACCGAUCAUCACUUGUAAACAUGGUGGAGUAACAAAUCAAGGUCGCAUCCAUUUCUAAUCCUGUACAAAGAACCAAAGUUGAUCAAUUGAAUCAACCUCCCAGCGUUACGUUACAAGUAUGCCAAAAAUUAAAACAAAAAAAUGCAAAUAAAACAUUCCAUCAAAAGGUAAACUUUUUACUGAAUUUCUUUUGCUUAUUUUUUUUAUUUAUUUCUUUCUUUCUUUAUUUCCCCCCUCCCUUUGCAGUAAGCAAACUGUUUCCCAGCACUAAGCUUAAUUCCUUUAGACAAAGGGUUUGGUCAUGUAAUUAGCUAGAAUAAGUGGUUUGGGAUAUUCAUAUUCUAGAAAAAUAAAGCAAAAGUUGUCCAAUGGCAAUGGUGCAUGGCACAAUCUCCUGUUGCCCAGGCAAACUACGCCGUAAUACCUCCGUUGAAAUCCAAAAUAUUGAUGGCACAGCUUGUCCUUAUUAGAGCAUUUAACUUAUCUUCAUUCUUAAUUCAUAUAUAUAAUAUAAUUAUAUAUAUAUCAUAAGAGAGGAGACAGAGAGAGAGAGAGAGAGAGAGAGAGUAAGUUACAAGUUUUAGCCAACCAUUAAUUAAUUUUUACGGAGCCUAUGUAUAUGGUAGUUUUGAUUUGUAACCUCACGAGUAACAAAUGUUGAGCUAUUGAGAAUUUAAUGGAAUUUAAGGUGAUUAACUGUGGUUAUUGCAAUCACAUAACUACUACUACUACUACUACGUACGUUUUUGCAAGUUUCAUGGUGGAAAGAACGUAGCUGCGUUAAUUAUAUGCGCUGGUUAUUUAACUAAUUGAACAUCUACCUUACCUUAAGUUGAAAUAUUUCCCUUCACUCCCUCUCUACUGUAGUUAUUUUGCAUGAGAAGGACGCUUAAUUAUAUUAAAACAGUACUUGAGUUUUUGGUCGUUCAUACUCAUAUUUAUAGGUUCAUAAUUAAGUUAUAUAAAUUUUUUUUGUUCAUUAAAUAACAUAACUUCUAAGCCUCCUUGUACCGUUCUACUAUAAUGUUUCGUAGAAUUCUAUUAAAGCUGAAUAUUAACUGAUACAGAGCAAAUAAGCAAGAACUAGUUGAGCUAUUGGUGGUUGUCAAAUAAAUUGUAAGAGGUAAUAACGCGUGCAUUAGAUUUAAGUAAAAGAAUUUAUUUACGACUUACGCAAAAUAAAACCUCAAUAAAUAUAUUGCACGGACUAGUUGUAUAUUGUAGCUGCGCAACAGAAAAAAUACAAAUAGUAUAUUUACACUUAUUAGACAAGCCAAUUCAUUUUAACACUGCUUCAAGCCAAACAAUGAAAAAGCAGUUUAUCAUCUACACGUUUAUGUUCAUAAAAAUAACUACUUAAUUCCACACCAUAAGGCUAGCUCAUCACCUCCUAAUUCAUAUUAUUAACUAAUGCUUAAAUUUGUAAAUAAUAAUUACACCGUACGUAUAUCACGAUUCAUAUAAUUUAUCAGCGAAUGAUUAUAUCCAAAAUUAACGAGCUAUAUAUAGGAAGCCGCGGCGAGCAGAAGAAGUCCGCUUACCGGAUCUUCGUGCGCCGGCGAGUACACGGUGGCCGCCGUUGGAACCAGAACCUGAGCGUAAGCACUUGCCGAGGUAGCGUCCUCCCCGGCGUUGGCGCCGUCGCACGCAGCUCCUUGAGCUGCGUCACAGCGCGCGACGCAGUCGGUGCACUGCUUCCGGCCGAUAUUCGCCGACGCAAACUGCGACAUGGCCUGCCGUAGCCGGCGCCGCCCGACUCUGUAUCCGCCAGGCGCCGCCCGCGGUGACGACGCCCCGAAGGGAGCGUCGCGCAUGCCGAGAAGUCCGGCGGAGUUGGCAGGGGGCGAGGGGGCGCCCGCACUUCUUGUAGAGGAGGAGGUGUCUGCCGGCCGUAUUAGGAGUCGUUGCCGUAGCGGAGGAAGCAGGCGCGCGGGACUGACGGCGGCGCGGCGGCGGCGGAGGGGCAGAGGGUGGAAGCUCGAGAGCGGAGCGGACGCAGGCGGCGCAGACGGCCGGGGAGGUCGGCGCGGCACUGGGAGGACGCCGGCCGCGCCCGAGGUCCAGUUCGCGUAAGGGCCCGAAGCCGCCGUCGUUGGCCAGGUCGUCAGCACGGAGUCCGCGCGUAGCGUGGCCGUCCGCCGGCACGUACAUGCGGCUGCGACAAGCCGGCGUAGAACGAACGCCGUGUAGUCUCCGCCCCCGACGCCGACGAAUGAUACAGACAUGAAAAGAGAAGGAGGAUAGAGGAACACGGAGAAGUUUUUGCAUGGUUAAUUAUAUUAUAUGUUGUGUUAAUUUGGAAGUCGUGUGUAUGCAGGGGUACGUACGGUAAGUAUGUGUUUGAGAGUUUUUGAGGCGGAAGGAGAAAGAGAGGUGUGUGUGGAGGAGGGGCCUCGUUAUUAUAUAAAAAAUCUUGAGACUAAAUUAAAACUCCCUGUUGUUUAUACAGAAUAUUACUUCUCUUUAUUUGACUAAUAAAGGAUGAUGAUCAAAGGAAAGGAAGAGGAGCGUGCCAGCAAAUUUCUCUGGGCACCUGUUCUUUGAUGAAUUCAUACCGCGCCGGCCUAUUAUUCACUAUUUCAUAACUGCAUUAAAAAUGCACAGAACCUACCUAAAUUGUAGACCAUUGUUGUUGACAAUCUAAUUUUCUAUAUUGAUUUAUAUUAGUCAACGAUAUUUUGACUUCAAAAUUCGACGGUACUUAUUUAUAUUUACAGAUUUAGUCAGUAUAUUUUAUAUAUAUUAAAAUAAUAUCGACUUAAAUUUUAAAAUUAAAAUAUAUUAAUAUAUUCAAAUCAAAUAAAUUAAGAGAGUAAAUAGUAAUCAAAAUUUCUGCAAGUUUAAGGUUAUCCCAAAUCAAUACAUGUUCGUCUUUAUCUAAACCUUUAUGUUUCAGCUCUCAACAUCAAAUUUUUUUCAUCAACCUCCUGUGUCCCAUCUCAUUAUUCAAAUCUCAACUUAAUUCUCGAUUUUAAAUAAAGAUAAAAUAAGAUAAGUUACUUCAUAGAGGAGUAUGAAAUUAAAAUUAUAAUGAAGAAACUAAUAUAUAGAAAUGCCAGAUUACUAUCGAAAAUGCGAUGCAACAGGAAAUAUUUUAUAAUAUAUAAUAUGAAAAAAAAUUAUUUAAGGAGUAGUUGGAGCUAGGUGAAAUUAAAGAGGCACCUCACUGUGAUUGCCUCACGAUGGCCAUAAAGGAAAAUACACUAUGAUUUAGUCAAGGGUUUGUUAGUAUUAAUUUGGAGCUUCUAUUUUAUUAUUAUUGAGCACUGGGGCAACUAAUAAUUGAUGUAGAGCAAAAAUCGACUUUUUUUAAAAACAACGCUUCUAAUAGUUUGAAAUUUGUGACAAUAAUCCUCUCACAAUUUUUAUUUUGAAAAACUAACCCUCCCUUUCGCCACGUCGUGCACGUACAAUUUCUUAUUAAAAGGCCGGUGAAUCGUUCACACGCUUUUCCCAUUUCUUUUAAAGGCGGUAAUCGUUGCAACCGGGCUUUCUUCUUAUUUUCUUGUUAAAGACAGUGAAAUCAUUCACCGCCUUUCACUUAUUUAUCCAUAAUAUAAUCCCAACGAACCACAUAAACAAUCUAACAAAUCAUAUAUAACUUUAACAACCUUAAAUUCUAAUAAUUUAUCCGAUAUAAUUUCAUAUAAUCUUAACACCAUGAAAAUCAAUAUCUAUUCCAUACAAUCCUAAUCAAAUAAAAAUUCUAAUUGGAUCCACCAUAUAUCUAACAACCUCCCUUUUUUCUAUUUCCUAUAUAAUUCACGCACAAUUUUUUAAUGAAUGCGGUGACGAAUUUACCGCCUUUAAAAGAAUAUAGGCGAAAGCGGUGACGAUUCACCGUUUUUAAAGAGAAAUGGAUAAAAACGGGAAAUAUCACCGCCUUUAAAAGAAUGGGUGAAAACGGCGAAACGAUUCACGCGUCUUUGUAAGGAAAACCCUGACGUGGCACCCACGUGGGUCGAAAGGAGGUUAUGCUUACAAAUAAAAUUUUUAACAGCUCACCUUUAGGGCAAUGUUUAAUUGUUUUGUAGGUCAUUUUAUAAAAAGCCCCCAAAAAUCAUGCCCUCUCAGUUGAGCCUACUGCUUAGCCCGUUAGGCGAGAAGCAAAAGUUUGAGACAGCUGCUAUUGUAAGGACGGCUAAAAUGAGCAAAAAAAAAAAAAAACAAAAAAACAAAAAAAAAAAACACGUAAAAAAUUUAUCUAAGAUCAAUUUCAAAAUAACUAUUUGAUUUUUAAAAUUUUUAAUUUUACUGUCUGAGUAUUUUGACCUAAAAUUUAAAUUAAUUAUUUGUUUUAAUAAAUUUGUAGUUGUAAAAGCGGUAUGAAAUAUACUAAUUAGACUUAUAAAAAUAACUAAUAUAUUCAAAAUUUGAAGUUAAAAUAUUAUUGACAGAUCCAAAUCAAAUAAAUUAAAAGAAUGAAUAGCCAUAUCAAAAUUUUAAAAUAUUAGAUCGCCAAUUCAAAAUAAUUUUCAGUUCAACGAAGUUAAAUAUAUUUUUACUAAAAAUUUAUUAUAGUCAAAGAUAAAAUUAAAAAACUAAUGCCCAUAUCUCAUAAGAUUUUAGUACCAAAAUGCAUCCAAAAGUAUCUGAAACUGCAACGCAAAGCAGAUCUAAAAUUUGAGCCAUUUAUUAGGCAACAUAGUAUUCGCUUGUCGUAGGACUGAAUAAAAGAUACCGCGGCAAGAAAACAUGCGUAUUUAUUAACAACCCACGAAAAAUUGUACACAGUUAAAUAUGAAGUUACCAAUUGACUUUUUACACCAAGAUUGUCGCGGUACAACAAAAAUUUUAAUGCGGGACAACUGGAUGGCCUUUUUUUUUUUAACAAAUUUUUAUUUAAGAAUUUCUCGAUCCUCACUAUAAUUUUGAUAUAAAGAGAUAAUUUUGAUAUAAAGAGAUUAAUUUAACGUUUCAUUCCAAAAAAAAAAAAAGUUGAAAGAUAUUAAAAUAAGAAAAGAUUUCUUAUUUAUAGGCCUAAAUCUUAAUAUAAUAAUAACAAAAUUUUCAUAAGAAAAGAAAUUGAUUAAAAGAUAUUACUAAUCUAAUGAAUAUUAGGUUUUUAGAGGCGGAGGUCUCCGUGGAGGGCGCUGGUGAUCUCCUCGGUGGUGCGACCCGAGGGACGGAGCAGGAGGUUAGGUUUUUAGAGGUUCUGAAACCGAAUUCGGGUCCGGAUCGGAUCGCAUAUCAGAAUUGCCUACAGAGUGGAGAGUCUAAUGCUACUAAAGACAUUCAUUUGGGUUCAGAACUCGAAUUUAGUUUGCAAAAAUAAGCAAGAGAUGGAAAAGCAGCAUAAAUCAGCAAAGAUUGAAGCCAUAGCCCUAUCCCGAUGAGCAGAAAAAGACGAAUCCAAAGAAAGCGUGGAGGCGGAAUCUAACUUAGUUCCUACAAUAAUCAAAGUCCCAAGAGCUUGUUAAUGAUUAGGAGUACCACACUGGAGAAUAGAUUGUUGUAAGAGAACGGCGUACUCAAAUAUAUAGAAGAGAGAUCAAUGCAAAAUUGAAUCCCGAGCAGGUGUAGAAUAAUAAAUGCAAGUAAUAUGAUGCUCUAAUUAGCAAAGAUUCAACCUCAGAAAGGGCAUAAGAAAAACAAAAGAAAAAAAUAUAUAUAUCAGUUGUCUGAACGAGGAAGCUUCGUAGUACAUACCAAUCUGCUUAAUUCAUUGAAGCUUCUUUGUCUGCAGCAUCAAAGAAAGGGAGUUGCCAUGGCUUUCGCUGAAUAGGAUUAAAAAGUAAACAAUUCGUUCAAUAUGAUGCCACUUUUUGCAGCUCCCAUUACUAGAGCUGCUCCACUGCAGAAGAACUAAAAGAAGGGCCUAAUUAUGAAGGAAGAAACUGCUUCCUUAGCCCUCACGGGAAAGAAAUAAAAGAGCCAAAAAUUAAGAUUGUACCUCUUCAAGCUUAAACUUUUAUAAGCCCAAACCCAAACCAAUAUAAAGCAACCUCUCCUCAAUGUUACCAUAUAUUAGGAUUUGUUCGAAACCAAAUAUAACUUGUUAUUCAAGAAUCAUUAUCCAAACUGAUACAAACUGGUCACCGUGGAAAGCUCAAACAAACUAAACCCAAUCAAGAAGCUCCUGGUUUUUGUAGAGCUGACGAAUAAACCAACAUUGUCAGUUUUGGUACUACACAACUAGGAACUCACAGAACAAGGCAACUGACUUAACUGGACCUCAAAAAUAUUGUAAAGUCAUUACUGUAAUAAAAGAAUAAUACCAUGAAUAGCAAAUGUAUAUCAAUGUAGAAAAGAAAAAAAAAAUUCAAAGAAAAACCUUAUGAAGUAGCAGGCACAGGACAUGAAUACUGACUUAAGACACAACGAACGUCUCUAAUAAGCGAUAUCCACAGAGGAUAUACAAUUCAACAUAUCUGAGUACAAGCAUGUCAUAACAGCAACUUGAACAAGUCUACAAUAAAAUAAAAUAAAAUAAAACAAAACAACAACACAACGCACAAGAUAUCAAGUUAAGAUUGAUUUUAUCAGAUUUUAACAAAAUGCUGAAAUUAUUCCAGCUGCAGCUAAAAAUUUCCUUGUGAGUAUGAAACUGUCAUGAUACCAAAUCUGAAAACAUUAUAUGGGCAACAAAAAGGCUGAUAGCAGUCGUUAGACACCAAAAAUAGUGUAUCGGAAACAGUGUCUUCGCAACUGAGAUGUAAUAUGAAUGCAAAUAUGCCCAAAAGUUAAAUACUGGAAAAUAUGCUCUUAGGAUUACCACACUAAGAUCCAGCCUAACACAACCAACCCAGUUCAGGAGCUCUCUCCAGCAUUUUUGGUGAUCACUCCAAUACUCAGCAGCUUUAGUUGCAAGUAAAGGUUCAAACAUACAGUGAAACACGAAUAAAAUAUAAACCAAGAAAACUCAAUUUAUCAGAUAAUGAUGCUUCUGCUCACAAAGCCAAGAUUUAAAUCCGAAGCCUUCUAAACUAGAUUACGCAGCAAUCUUCAGUACGAAUCAGAAAAGUAACCUCUUAAAUUCGUUCAGCAAUGAAAUACCAAACUAUUGAAGAUGCAUCAGCACAAAAUCCCGAAUCAAAUUCACUGUUCAAAAUCGAUAGCAUGAUAGGAAUAGGAGUCUUAACCUAAAAAUACGAAUCACAUACCAAAUUACGGGCUCUUCCACAGUAUGAUCUAAGAUCAAACACCCUAACCAGAUCUCCGAUUCACUUUAUGCAAAUUAAGAAUCCGUACACACAACAACCAAAAAGGAGAAGAUAUCCAAAAAAACUAAAGGGGAUAGAAACCAGAACCUAGAUCGAGAUCGGAUCCGAGACCGCGGAGCUCUUAAAUCGCACGAGAUCGGAGGCCGAUCAUGCGCUCACUCCUGGCGCUUGAGCUUCUCCAGGCGCUGGUUGAGCUGGUCGAUGCGGACGACGAGGGAGGUGACGGAGAAGAGGAGCCAGUAGAGGACUAGCGCGGCGGCGAUGAGGAGGGCGUUGCGCUGGCUCUUCAUGAUGGACUUUUGGUGGCGGAGGUGCUCGGAGGGGGUGCACGCGUGCUCCUGGUCGCACGUGGGGCGCGUCUCGUACUUCCAAUAGAUGUCCAUGAGGAGGAAGAGGCAAAAGGGCACCACCGCGAGG
rnacentral:lncRNA from 1 species